rnacentral:rRNA from 1 species
GCACCACAAGAACGCGUGGAGCAUGUGGCUUAAUUUGACUCAACGCGGGAAAUCUUACCGGGUCCGGACACACUGAGGAUUGACAGGCAAUAUCUCGACUGUUUAAUAACCGUUUAUUAAAUAUAAACGGUUUAUUAUUAAACAGAUCGAGUGUUAAAUAUGCUAGUCCUUUCAUGAUUAUGUGAUAGGUGGUGCAUGGCCGUUCUUAGUCCGUGGAGUGAUCUGUCUGCUUAAUUGCGUUUCACUAAGGGCCCAUAAAUUCAAGGUAUGUUAGCAAUCGUCGCUCUAUGGACCCCUUAUUUCAGUUUAUUAAUAAACUGUUAUAAGCGCGCGUCUUGUUUAAAGAGUUUAAGACACUGCGCAUGCUGUUGGGCUCUGAAAGCAACGAACGUGACCGCAACGUCUUGUUGCCUUAAUCAAGUCGGCUGUUUAAUCUGUUUAAUUAAACAGACAGACAGCAGUCAUUAUAUGGCUUAUCCGAGGCUAUUUAAAACUAGACGAACCGCUGUUUCUUUUCUUAAACCAGAGGAAGGUUGCGGCAAUAACAGGUCUGUGAUG